AUGAAAAAAAAUGAAACGAAUGAAAAUGAAAACCUGCGACACCAUCUUCUGACCUGCAAAAAUUUAUACCCCACCAUCACCACCCUUCAUCUUCGACUAUUACCACGCCCUCCUCCUCCUCCCCACCACCUUAAUUUCUUCAAACCUUUGCCGACAAUCUGAGCUUUCUUUUUUAAUUUUAUCUGAUUUUGAAAUUUUGAUGUAUCAAUUUCAAUUUUAAAUCAAGAUAUUUCACAAAGAAGGGGUUCUGCUUUAAAUUUUAUUAUACAAAACUUAAUUUACUGAUUAGAGUAGGUUUAGAUGAUUUGGAUUCACAACUCUGGGGUUUUAAAACAUCAAACUUUUCCCCAAUAUUCCAAAUAGGUAAGUUCGAUCGUCAAUGUAUGUUAAGAUCUACCUAAUUUUAAUUAUUCUGAUGCAUGUUAGAUGUUUGCUUCAAUUUGAACCUCAACUGUUUGAUAAAAUACCUGAAUGAAAAUUAUCAUUUUGGUUACGUGGGAGUCUCAUUUGCCACCACUAAAUACGCUAAUUUUCAACCUGGCAUCCAGUUUAACUUUUUUUUAAAGUUGACUAUGCUUAUAUUAUUCAAUGUUCUUUGUUGGGACUGAUAUUCUCUGAAUUUUGUAAUGACAUAAAUUAAAUUGCAUACUUUGUUGUUAAGUUGAUCACUGAUGGAGGUAAAUCAGGCCUCCAGCUCAACCAUAUCAUAAAGUUAGCGUAGGGUUCAUCCUAAGAAGAGUCCAUGUACCAGUGUGUAUGAGUUUUAAUCUCCCUUCGCAAGUUCAAAUUAUCGUAUUAUUUCGUAUUCCAGUUCUCAUUAUGGACUUGGAACUUGGAACAAACAAUUUUUUGUCAGAAAUGGAUGUCCCCCUUUCGAUUCAAACUACAGGCGCAUCGCACGUACGAAUUCACCAGAGAGAAAAUGUUUGGAGCAUAUUUAGCACAUUGGGUUUUGGCGCAUUUCUUUGUUUUACCUCCAAGGCAGGGAUAAAUCAGAGACAUGGAAACUACUGGAACUCGCUAUGUUCAUCAGAGACAAAACAUGACUGAAAAGCAGCUGGCUUUUCAACGGGCAAUGAACUGUGAUCGACAAAGCAUCCGUAGGCAAAACAUGACGGAGGAGCAGAGGUCUAUUGGACGCGAGCGUGAUCGUAUUCGACAUAGAGCCACCAAGGAAAAGCUGAACCUUCCUUCAACAUUUACAGGCAACAAUGCCGGACGCCUGUUUGAACGUGUUACACAACAACAUGUGCAGACAGAAGUUGAAGGCCAUAUGGAAUUAGGCCCUCAACACCUAGACUAUACA